AAAAAGGCAUACUCAGGAAGAUGAUAGUUUUAUGUUCGAACAAGUUGUGUCGUGUCAUUUCGAAAACUCGCGUUUAACAUAAACAUAAAGGCAGCGUCGGCUUUUGUUAUUGUCGUGUUGGGACUGGUUUAGCUCUGCCGCUGAUUAGCUCGUCGUCUAAAUUAGCUAACAGGGUGCUAAGUGCUGUGUGUGUAAAUGUCGCGCCGCUCUAGCGUCAACUCUUGUAAAUGUUCGCUAAAGAUACACCCGCUAAUGUUUGAGUUCUCCGCAUAAGCAGGCGGGUGAACGCAGUCGGACAGCAAAUGGCUGAAAUGUCGUAAAAAUGACAGCGAGCCGUGUUGUGGCCUGCCACUCGACCACAGAUGUUACCUGCGCGCCCUGCUCUGUUAGCCACGUAAACUGGUUCUGAUCGGCGUUGACGUAGCAGCAGCAGCAGCGAACAACUCGCUCGCCUGUCAGUUGGGAGUGUGACGCUCCUUUACAAAUAAAGACAGAAGACCAAUACUUUCCUCAGGCACUGACAAACAUUAAAGAACUGAGCGAGCCAGAAUGCGAUAGCUGGAAGCGGACGUGCGGCUCUUUGCAUUUAGCGGAGGAUGAAGCGAGUCUUCUGGCUAUUAACAGGAUUAAACAGAAGAAUGGUGAAAUUACUUUUUGCCAUCGCCUUGGUUGCCUACAUUGCUUCCGUCUGGGGAACAUAUACAAACAUGAGAUCAAUAAAAGAAAACGGUGAGAUGAUUGAUCAGAAGAUUGAUGAAGCUGUGGCUCCCCUCCGCGAGAAGAUUCGUGACUUGGAGCAGAGUUUUUCUCAAAAAUACCCACCUGUGAAAUUUCUGUCAGAGAAGGAUCGAAAGAGAAUUCUGAUUACUGGUGGUGCGGGUUUCGUAGGUUCCCACCUGACUGACAAGCUGAUGAUGGAUGGCCACGAAGUGACUGUGGUGGACAACUUUUUCACCGGGAGAAAAAGGAAUGUGGAGCACUGGCUUGGCCAUGAAAACUUUGAGCUCAUCAAUCACGAUGUAGUGGAGCCCCUCUACAUUGAGGUGGAUCAGAUCUACCACCUGGCCUCUCCAGCCUCUCCUCCCAAUUACAUGUAUAACCCCAUCAAAACCCUUAAAACCAACACUAUCGGUACUCUCAACAUGCUUGGCUUGGCCAAACGAGUGGGCGCCAGGCUCCUCUUGGCUUCUACCUCUGAAGUUUAUGGAGACCCUGAGGUACACCCCCAAAAUGAAGAGUAUUGGGGCCACGUAAACCCAAUCGGGCCUCGGGCCUGCUACGACGAAGGGAAACGUGUCGCCGAAACCAUGUGUUACUCCUACAUGAAGCAGGAAGGAGUGGAGGUGAGAGUGGCGAGAAUCUUCAACACGUUCGGCUCCCGAAUGCACAUGAACGAUGGGAGAGUUGUCAGUAACUUCAUCCUGCAGGCUCUCCAGGGAGAACCACUCACUGUUUAUGGCACUGGUUCCCAAACGAGAGCCUUCCAGUAUGUAAGUGACCUGGUCAACGGCCUGGUGUUGUUGAUGAACAGUAACAUCAGCAGUCCAGUCAAUCUGGGGAACCCAGAGGAGCACACCAUAUUGGAGUUCGCUCAGCUCAUCAAAAGUCUAGUUGUGAGCAAAAGUCAGAUCCAAUUCCUUCCCGAGGCCCAGGAUGACCCACAGAGGAGGAGGCCUGACAUCCGAAAAGCCAAGAUGAUGUUGGGCUGGCAACCAGUGGUGCCCCUGGAGGAGGGCCUAAAGAAAACGGUCCAGUACUUCAGCAGGGAACUGGAGCACCAGGCCAACAAUCAGUACAUCCCCAAACCCAAAGCGGCCCGCAUGAAGAAAGGCCGACCGAGACACAUUUGAGCAGGACCUAUUUUUCAUUUUUGAAGCGUGUACAGAGGUGCAUUCUGGGAUAUUUAUUGCGAUAAGACUUUGAUUGUUGCCUUGAUAAGGAGUUGCAAGUUGCACUGUGAGGCCUCUCGCCUGAGCUUUUUAGGUUGGACAAGCCAAUUAUUUAAAACACAGCCUACAGCAUCUUUGUUUUCCAUUUCUUUUGCUUGUUUUUUGUUGUUGUUGUUGUUGUUAAUUUGUGCUUAAGCCAUAUAAAACUGUUGACGCGCUUUAGUGCUUAUGCGUUUUAUUUUAUUUUUUUUAAAUAGAUUUAUCAAAGAGGAGUCAUUCUCGUUUGGUGGCGAAGAAAAGACUUAUUGUGACGCCGUGCUUCACUGGGGGGGACAUCUCGUGUGAGGAUGUGCAUUAAUCAUAUCAGAGCUUGUGAAGCUUUUUGCCAUCGCCUGACACUUCUGCGAGGACGAAAGGAAACAGGUGAAGUCCGAACGAUUGCGGGCGUGCAGUCGAACCUCCAAAGCGGAACACAAUCCAUUCUGUGACGCAGGGUCACGGGCGUGCUGGAGCCUCACCCAGGCAGGGGACACCCUGAACUGGUCGCCAGCCAAUUGCAGGGCACAUAUAAAGAAAACAACCAUUCACACCAACGGGCAAUUUAGGGUCUUCAGUUAACCUACUAUGCAUGUUUUUAGGAUGUGAGAGGAAACCGGAGUGCCCGGAGAAAACCCACGCAGGCACGAGGAGAACAUGCAAACUCCACACAGGCGGGGCCGGAUUUGAAAGCCGAUCCUCAGAACCGUUUUACUUUCAAUUCGCCCGAGUGGAGGGAGAAUAGAAAAUACUGCCUUACAUGAAUGAUUUGGCUCCACCACACACUAUUGUAGUGCUUUGCAACAACAAUCCAUUACCUUUAAAAAAAAAAGAAAACAAAUCGUACUAAAAGAUUCCUCAACAUGCUGAGACGUGCAACACAAACCACAACACAAUGAAAAGGCGACAAGGCCAGAGGGUAAUCCUUGUGCAGCGGUUUGAGGCCCAAAACGGUUUGCUAGUGAAUGUUGAUUAGCUGUCAUAGAAAAGAAUGUUGGGACUUACCUGUUAGAGCCAAGAAUGUCAGCAGUGCAGCGAACCCCAAGACCCUCAAAGUCAACAGCUGGGACGCCAUCUUUUCCCCCAGUUCAGACGAGCGAAAGAAACUCUUGCACGGAGCAACAACUGCAGAUUGACAACCAGAGGGGAGAAGGAGGCGCCGCUCCACACUCGCUCGCUGACUUCCCCAAGUUGGAAAGCGGCCCGUGGCGGUGGAACGUCACCUGAGGAAACGAGACUGCAGCUGGAAGUCUCGAUUGGUGCCUCGGGUAUACUUCUCCAGCAGUAGUGGAAAAAGAGAAGAGAAGAGAAGAGGAGAGGAGAGGAGAGAAGCUUUCCCCUGGACUUGCUUUCUUUUGAUCCAUCUUUGAUACAUAUAUACACAUACAUGCUUAUACAUAUUAUUUGAUAUAUAUUAUAAUGCUUUUAUAUAUACAUAUAAACACUAUGCACUACUGGCUUUUAAUCUUUAAGAUUGCGAGGCAUUGCUGUUGUGUGUGUGGAAAUGGAAUGCAGGCCGUAGCCAGAUGUUGGCAGACAUUUGCAGCAAAUUCCCCCGACAGACGGCAGCUCAAGUCAACAAAUGCUUUCUAAAAAAAAAAGAAAAAAAAAGUGGAUUCAGUGCGUCCCUAGUUUCAAGCAAAGCUUCGGGUUUCCCACCUGCUAUGAACGAAAACAGGGCGAGAGAAGUGAGCGUUGGGUGUUAAACUUGGCACACCUGCCCCUGCAUGAUGGCAUCCCCUUACGUCACCCCGCCUCUGAUGGUACAGUGGAGUACAGUAGCUACAACCUCAUAAGGCAGACGUUUGUUAUCGUGAACACACUAGGGUGCCCUUUUAUUUGACUGGAGCUCGAGGCUAGGACAGACUGAGCAGAAAAACGAGGUCAAACUCCCGCCGUCCUGCAGCACGAGCUGCUCCUGCAGAUGGAAAAUCAGCCCAAAACACAGCACACAGACCCUGAAGGGAAACAGAUGCGCAUUAAGGGAUCUCUCCCCGCUUUGACCUGUGAAAACGGGGUCAUCAAAAGCCUGAGUGCGCCGCAGUUGCCCUGAGUGGAGGGGGGGGGGGGGGGAAGGGGCCGGGGGACGGGCAGGCCCCCACCCCCCAGGGGUGGAUCCUGUGGCUGAAAGACUACUUUUCAGGGGGGAGACUGCAUUUCAUCCACAAUAAGGGAAAUACAUUUAAAAAAUCACUCUUUAUCACACUUUUUCCACAUGUGAAAAUAUAUUUUUAGCUUUCUUUGGAAUCUUUUUUUUCCUAUCGAUUUCUUUUCCAAAGCAGACUCUUAGUCUUUGCCUUUGAUCCUGGACACCCACUUUUUGACUGCUGUUGCCUAUUGUAGCUUCCCCGUACACGGCCAACAAUGAUGUCAUUUCCUAAAUGGCUAACAGGGAGAGGACAGGCUUAAAGAAAACCUUUAUUUCAAAUCAAUCUUCAACCAUGACCGCUUAUUAAUUCGUUUGUCGCCAUGGCACAAGUCACAAAGCACUGCAUGAGCCAUUUGCGUGAUUAGCUGGAUGAGAUCAAUCAGCGUUUCUGCGAGAUUGCCCGAGGUAAACUCGCUUAGCUGUUGGUGCUGCCUUUUUGGAGAAAUGUCCACAUGUUUUUGUUGUUUACUAAUGUUCUAAUCGGAGCACAUCAAUCCCACUUGAAGAAGACCAAAGUCCUUUCAAUGUUUCCGACAUUGCUUUGUACUCUGUGUAAUGUUCAUGUAUGAACAGCAACAUGACUGCCACCUGGUGGGAGUUUGACAAUACUGCACUUGACGAGCACAGAUGAUUUAUUAUUUGUAUUCAUUCAUUCAUCUUCCGUUCCGCUUCUCCACACGCGGGUCGCGGACGUGCCGGAGCAUCCCAGGCAUCCCAGCCAUCUUCGGGCGAGAGGCGGGGUACACCCUGAACUGGUCGCCAGCCAAUUGCAGCUAUUAUUAUUCUUUCACGCACUGACAAAUAUGCAUAUUUUUUAAGUCAAUUAGUGAUAUGGAAGGCUCCCGGAUGUAGCAGAUGUGCGAACCUUUCGGCCACCGUCCGCCAUGCAAAGGAUGCGUCCAGAUAUGCGAGAGGCUGCUCGGAAGGAUAACCCAUUCAUUGACCGCACGAACAUUUCCGCAACAGAAAGACGCUCCAUUACGCUUCACUUCUCAGCCACAGUGGCGUUCGCUUGUGCUGCACAGGGUGUGGCUGGCUUGACGUCCUUUGUGCGAGGCAGAAACAAAAACAGCUCGGAGCCACUCGGGAACCGCUGCAUCGUGCCGAAGCGGGUUUCAACCCUCUCGGCAUCAGAGUGCGCUUAGGUCGUCAUGGCGACAAGAAAAAGGCAGGUCAGCAUUCCUCAGGGAAAAGAAAAGAAAAGAA